AUUGAACGCUGGCGGCAGGCCUAACACAUGCAAGUCGAGCGGAACGGCGGACGGGUGCGUAAUGCCUAGGAAUCGGCCUGGUAGUGGGGGAUAACGUCCGGAAACGGGCGCUAAUACCGCUAACUAUCAGCAUCGCCUAGGUCGGAUUAGCUAGUUGGUGGGGUAAAGGCCUACCAAGGCGACGAUCCGUAACUGGUCUGAGAGGAUGAUCAGUCACACUGGAACUGAGACACGGUCCAGACUCCUACGGGAGGCAGCAGUGGGGAAUAUUGGACAAUGGGCGAAAGCCUGAUGCAGCCAUGCCGCGUGUGUGAAGAAGGUCUUCGGAUUGUAAAGCACUUUAAGUUGGGAGGCGUUACCAGCAGAAUAAGCACCGGCUAACUUCGUGCCAGCAGCCGCGGUAAUAC
rnacentral:rRNA from 1 species